rnacentral:rRNA from 1 species
GACCGUCUUGAAACACGGACCAAGGAGUCUAACAUCUAUGCGAGUGUUCGGGUGUCAAACCCCUACGCGUAAUGAAAGUGAACGGAGGUGAGAACCGCAAGGUGCAUCAUCGACCGAUCCUGAUGUCUUCGGAUGGAUUUGAGUAUGAGCAUAGCUGUUGGGACCCGAAAGAUGGUGAACUAUGCCUGAAUAGGGUGAAGCCAGAGGAAACUCUGGUGGAGGCUCGCAGCGGUUCUGACGUGCAAAUCGAUCGUCAAAUUUGGGUAUAGGGGCGAAAGACUAAUCGAACCAUCUAGUAGCUGGUUCCUUCCGA